CUAUAUUCCUAACUGUGGCUGUAAACACACUAGUGGCCAGAUCAAAGCGUUUCCAUUAGCCGCACCCGGCGGGGGAAGGAUCAGUUGAGAAAUCUCUUAGAAGCGAAUUUUUAAAAACGGAGUCAAGCUGCUCCCACUACGUUUUACAGGGAAAAGGGUGGAAUUUGAGUACUGUGGUGUGCCCCAGUUUUCACAAGAGAGAGGUGGAGACGCACUUGGAACCGACAGAACAAGAAGCAAUCCAUCAUGUGACUCCGCAACAGCUGCCUGAGGUAUAAGAACAUAAGAAGAUAAGAUCCAUGCUGGAUGGGUAUGGAAAUGAAGAGGAAUGGCACUCCCCUGCGACAUCAGAAACUCUGGCCCAGUUGGAGGUCACUUAAGAACAAUAUAAUACAACAUACAGAAUGGCAGCUUUUGGAGUCGGAGAAAGAGACUGAGUUGCUUCCA